CAAGUGUGGGUGGAUUCUGGGGUGGCCACUUAUGCUGGGCACACAGUGGAUCCUGAGAGGUAUCUGCUGUCAUCUGCCCGGAUUUGAGCUGUAAUCUCUGUUGGUUUUCAUGCACAGUGCAGGGCACCGAGAGCGUAGGAGGCCGCUGAUACCCAGGACUCCACUGCCUAGGAUCGGCCUCCUCCACCCAGAUGGAGCUCCUGUGGAUAGGUCUCACCUUGCUGGAGAUGAUGCAAACCCAGGCCCAAGGCCCAAGAAGGCACGGGGGGCUCCCUCAAGUCCCACACCCCAAUUUGCCUUUUCACAAGAUCUGUCUCCUGCCCAGCCAGGGGAAGGAGACAGUGACCGUGAAUUCAGGUCGAGCAGGCCCUGUUCCCAUGGGUAGGAGCCUGGAUCGGAGAGCUCAGCCCAAUGCCAACCCUACACAGACUUCAUAUUCUCCUGUGGCCCUCGGGACCCUCCAGGCCAGAAGACCAACCAUCAGACUUGGCUGACCAUGGCAGACCCGGCCCUCACCACAUCCCAGCGAGACUUGUGGCCCUCCUCCCAGGCGUUCAGCCUCAUCCACCCCCAGCACAAAUAAACGCUUGUCACAGAGGAA